UACGGGGGGGGUAAGCGUUGUUCGGAAUUACUGGGCGUAAAGGGCUCGUAGGCGGUUUUGUAAGUCAGAUGUGAAAUCCCCGAGCUCAACUUGGGAACUGCGUUUGAAACUACAAGACUAGAAUAUGUCAGAGGGGGGUAGAAUUCCACGUGUAGCAGUGAAAUGCGUAGAGAUGUGGAGGAAUACCAAUGGCGAAGGCAGCCCCCUGGGAUAAUAUUGACGCUCAUGCACGAAAGCGUGGGGAGCAAACAGG
rnacentral:rRNA from 1 species